rnacentral:rRNA from 1 species
UAGCAUAUCAAUAAGCGGAGGAAAAGAAACCAACAGGGAUUGCCCUAGUAACGGCGAGUGAAGCGGCAACAGCUCAAAUUUGAAAUCUGGCGUCUUUGGCGUCCGAGUUGUAAUUUGCAGAGGGCGCUUUGGCAUUGGCAGCGGUCCAAGUUCCUUGGAACAGGACGUCACAGAGGGUGAGAAUCCCGUACGUGGUCGCUAGCCUUUACCGUGUAAAGCCCCUUCGACGAGUCGAGUUGUUUGGGAAUGCAGCUCUAAAUGGGAGGUAAAUUUCUUCUAAAGCUAAAUACUGGCCAGAGACCGAUAGCGCACAAGUAGAGUGAUCGAAAGAUGAAAAGCACUUUGGAAAGAGAGUUAAAAAGCACGUGAAAUUGUUGAAAGGGAAGCGCUUGCAGCCAGACUUGCCUGUAGUUGCUCAUCCGGGUUUUUACCCGGUGCACUCUUCUAUAGGCAGGCCAGCAUCAGUUUGGGCGGUUGGAUAAAGGUCUCUGUCAUGUACCUCUCUUCGGGGAGAACUUAUAGGGGAGACGACAUGCAACCAGCCUGGACUGAGGUCCGCGCAUCUGCUAGGAUGCUGGCGUAAUGGCUGUAAGCGGCCCGUCUUGAAACACGGACCAAGGAGUCUAACAUCUAUGCGAGUGUUUGGGUGUCAAGCCCGAACGCGUAAUGAAAGUGAACGGAGGUGGGAACCUUUCGGGGUGCACCAUCGACCGAUCCUGAUGUCUUCGGAUGGAUUUGAGUAAGAGCAUAGCUGUUGGGACCCGAAAGAUGGUGAACUAUGCUUGAAUAGGGUGAAGCCAGAGGAAACUCUGGUGGAGGCUCGCAGCGGUUCUGACGUGCAAAUCGAUCGUCAAAUUUGGGCAUAGGGGCGAAAGACUAAUC